rnacentral:rRNA from 1 species
AUGUAUGGUACAACAUGCGAAGAAAUCAAGGCCGUCCGAUUGAGAAACACGAACGGACGGACAGGCGCGUCGCGUGGUCAGUCAGUGGAGGCACGACUCGGCGUCGGCCAUCUCCACGCCGUUGACGCUGCCGUCGGCGCCGGGCCGUCCGGCCUUGUACUUGUACCACCUGGCGGCGAAGAGGUAGACGACGAGGUUGGCGAGGCAGACCCCCGCGAGGAGCCAGUAGAACUUGUAGAGCUCGCCCUUGUUGAGGUCGUCGGCGAUCCACGGCCGGCGGUCACCCGUGAUCUUGUGCACGACGGUGACGAGCGCCGAGCUGACGAAGAAUCCGAGCGAGAGCGUGCUGAGGAAGAGCCCCGUGCUCAUGGUCUUCAUCCCCUUGGGGCACUCGCGCAGGAAGAAGUCGAGCUGGCCGAUGUAGGUGAAGGCCUCGCCGGCGCCGACAAAAAAGAACUGCGGGAUGAGCCAGAAGACCGUCAUGGGCACGGGGGCGCCCGCCGGGACUGCGGAGUCCCGAGCCACGCGGAGGCGCUUGACCUCUACGAGAGCGGCGGAGGUCAUGGCGAGGAUGGAGAGCACGAGGCCGAUGCCGAUCCGCUGGAGCGGGGUGAGCCCGUGCGGGUUGCCGUUGAGGCGGCGGGAUACGGGCACGACGAUGCGGUCGUAGAUGGGGACGGUGAGGAGGAUGGAGCCGACGAAGAAGACGGUGAGGGAGCCCGCCGGGAUCUGGAAGGAGGGGCCGAUGUGGCGGUCCAUGGUGGUGGCCUGCGACACCGAGAAGGUGGUCAUCUGCGCGUACACCGUCCAGAACAUGAUGGUCGUCGCCCAUAUCGGAAGCAUCCGCGCCACCGUCUUGACCUCCUCCACGUCCGUCAGCGUCGCAAGCUGCCACUUGGUCGGCUCGCCAGCGGGGUCCGAGUUGAUCGCCGCAUGGUCCAAGAAACUGCAAAGAUAAGUUGA